rnacentral:rRNA from 1 species
AGCAGCCGCGGUAAUUCCAGCUCCAAUAGCGUAUAUUAAAGUUGUUGCAGUUAAAAAGCUCGUAGUUGAAUUUCGGGAUCAAUUAAUUGGUCGUGCCUCUGGUACGCACUGGUUUUAUUGGUUUCUCCCUUCUGACGAACCACGAUGUCAUUAAUUUGGUGUCGUGGAGAAUCAGGACUGUUACUUUGGAAAAAUUAGAGUGUUUAAAGCAGGCUAACGCUUGAAUACAUUAGCAUGGAAUAAUGAAAUAGGACGUUUGAUCCAAUUUUGUUGGUUUCUAGGAUCGACGUAAUGAUUAAUAGGGAUAGUUGGGGGCAUUAGUAUUCAAUUGUCAGAGGUGAAAUUCUUGGAUUUAUUGAAGACUAACUACUGCGAAAGCAUUUGCCAAGGAUGUUUUCAUUAAUCAAGAACGAAAGUUAGGGGAUCGAAGACGAUCAGAUACCGUCGUAG